GUAGUACUUCCUCCGUCCAACAAAAAAUGUCUCAACUUUGACUAAAUUUGAAUUCAUAUAUACACUAAGUCAUGUCUAGAUACAUCCAAAUUUUGACAAACUUGAGACAUCUUUUGUUGGACGGGGGGAGUACUAG
rfam:Brachypodium distachyon strain Bd21 chromosome 1, whole genome shotgun sequence.